AAGAUUUUAAGUUAAUUUAAACUAAAGGCUUUCAAGGUCUUAAAUAAAUAGUUGUGUUUAAAUCUUG
rnacentral:tRNA from 1 species